rnacentral:rRNA from 1 species
AAACCAACAGGGAUUGCCCCAGUAACGGCGAGUGAAGCGGCAACAGCUCAAAUUUGAAAUCUGGCUCUCGGGCCCGAGUUGUAAUUUGUAGAGGAUGCUUUUGGUGAGGUGCCUUCCGAGUUCCCUGGAACGGGACGCCAUAGAGGGUGAGAGCCCCGUCUGGUUGGACACCGACCCUCUGUAAAGCUCCUUCGACGAGUCGAGUAGUUUGGGAAUGCUGCUCUAAAUGGGAGGUAUAUGUCUUCUAAAGCUAAAUACCGGCCAGAGACCGAUAGCGCACAAGUAGAGUGAUCGAAAGAUGAAAAGAACUUUGAAAAGAGAGUUAAAAAGUACGUGAAAUUGUUGAAAGGGAAGCGCUUGUGACCAGACUUGGGCUUGGUUGAUCAUCCGGGGUUCUCCCCGGUGCACUCUUCCGGCCCAGGCCAGCAUCAGUUCGCCCUGGGGGACAAAGGCUUCGGGAAUGUGGCUCUCUCCGGGGAGUGUUAUAGCCCGCUGCGUAAUACCCUGUGGCGGACUGAGGUUCGCGCAUUCGCAAGGAUGCUGGCGUAAUGGUCAUCAGUGAC